GGUUGGUCCGAUGGCAGUGGGAAAAGAAACUACUUGCUACAGAAUGUCUCAGACAAUGCAAUUUCUAUGUUUCAUAUCUCCCCCUCACUGCUGACCUUGACCAACCUUUU
rnacentral:Y_RNA from 1 species